rnacentral:rRNA from 1 species
ACACAACUUUCUUAACAGCUAGCCCUCCUCCAAACUUCAACAAAAACCAUUAAUACCCCCAAAUGCACUAGCACAACAAAACAAACCAUUUUACCCCCCUAGUAUGGGCGACAAAAAAGGAACACAGGCGCAAUAGAAAAAGUACCGCAAGGGAAUGCUGAAAGAGAAAUGAAAAAACUCAGUAAAGACUAAAAAAGCAGAGACACAACCUCGUACCUUUUGCAUCAUGAAUUAGCUAGCAACCCUCAAGCAAAGAGCCCUUUAGUUUGAGCCCCCGAAACUGGGUGAGCUACUCCAAGACCGCCUAUAACAGGGCUAACCCGUCUCUGUGGCAAAAGAGUGGGGAGAGCUUAGAGUAGAGGUGACAGACCUAUCGAACCCAGUUAUAGCUGGUUGCCUACAAAAUGAACAGGAGUUCAGCCUUCUGGUUUCUUUAUUCAAAACUGGUAACACCCACGAGUGACACCAAGAAACCUAAAGAGUUAUUCAAGAGGGGUACACCCCCCUUGAAAAAAGACACAACUUUACAAGCAGGCUAAAGAUUAUAAGACCCAAAGGCAAUGUCCCUUAGUAGGCCUAAAAGCAGCCACCCAUACAGAAAGCGUUAAAGCUCAAGUAUUUUGCCCCCUAUGAUUUCAACAACAAAUUCUUAAGCCCCUCCAAUUUUAUAGUAGGCCUUUUUAUGCAAACAUAAAAGAGAUACUGCUAACAUGAGUAAUAAGGGAGCUAAGCCUCCCUCUAAGGCACCUGUUUACAUCAGAACGAACCCUCACUGAAAAUUAACGCCCCCAACUAAAGAGGGAACUAAGACAAUUAAGUUAACCAAGAAAACCUCUUAACCCAAAACAGCGUUGACCCUACACAGGUGUGCCCAAAGAAAGACUAAAAGAAAAAGAAGGAACUCGGCAAACAUUGGCCUCGCCUGUUUACCAAAAACAUCGCCUCUUGAACCUUAACAUAUAAGAGGUCCCGCCUGCCCUGUGACUCAUGAGUUUAACGGCCGCAGUAUUUUGACUGUGCAAAGGUAGCGUAAUCACUUGUCUUUUAAAUGGAGACCAGUAUGAAUGGCAUAACGAGGGCCAAGCUGUCUCCUUUUUCCAGUCAAUGAAAUUGAUUCCCCUGUGCAGAAGCAGGGAUAUAAACAUAAGACGAGAAGACCCUAUGGAGCUUAAGACACAAGACAGCUCAUGUUAAAAACCCAUAUUAAAUGGAAAAAACCAAAUGGACUCUGUCCUUUUGUCUUUGGUUGGGGCGACCAUGGAGUAACAAAAAACCCCCAUGUGGAACAGGGCCUAGGCCCUUAAAGCUAGAGCCACAGCUCUAACAAGCAGAACAUCUGACCUUCAAGAUCCGGCAAAGCCGAUCAACGGACCGAGUUACCCUAGGGAUAACAGCGCAAUCCCCUUUUAGAGCCCAUAUCGACAAGGGGGUUUACGACCUCGAUGUUGGAUCAGGACACCCUAAUGGUGCAGCCGCUAUUAAGGGUUCGUUUGUUCAACGAUUAAAGUCCUACGUGAUCUGAGUUCAGACCGGAGAAAUCCAGGUCAGUUUCUAUCUAUGUAGUGCUCUUUUCUAGUACGAAAGGACCGAAAAGAGGAGGCCCAUGCCCCAAGCAAGCCUCACCCCUACCUAGUGAAACCAACUAAAAUAGGUAAAAGGGCACACCUUUUUCCUUCCUGAGAAAAAGGCAA